rnacentral:tRNA from 1 species
GCUCCAGUGGCGAAAAUCGGUUAGCGCGCGGUACUUAUAAUGCCGAGGUUGUGAGUUCAAGCCUCACCUGGAGCA